ACAUCAGUGUUAAUUCCUUACUUUGACUCUAAAUGAGGAAGUGACGGCGGCGCACAGCAAACAGGGGCCGCACGCCAUUUGACUUUCCUGCCGCUCCUCUCCCUUCAAAAUCAACAGUUUAAAGGUGUCGGCUCGGCUAUGGAGCCAUUUGGGAGAAGAAUGAAGGGGCUCCCUGCCUCUGAAAGCUCUCUGUCUGGGGAACAUGACAGCCAGACCAAAGCUAAGAGGAUCCAGCAGGAGAGACCAGACUCCCCUGGACCUGGACCUGAGCCCAGCUGUGUGUCCAUGAAGAGUGACCACUCUAUGGGACGGCCUAUUAAGUUCAGAGACAGCCUCCUCUCUGAGGA